rnacentral:rRNA from 1 species
AAAUUUUAAAUUUAAUUUUUAUGAUUUUAUCAUACAUUAAUAAAUAACUUUGAAUUUAUAAAACCGCCAUAAAAUCAAAUAAAUCUCCUUAGACAAAUAAUUAACUAUUAGGUGCUUAUUUAAAUGAAUUAAAUUAUAAAACAUAUAGCAACAAUAUUUUUAUAAAAAAUUAUUAAUUAUUAUAAAUUUUUAAUAAUUUAUUUAAAUUUAGUUUAGUUCUACGUCUAAUAUUAAUUCUUAUAUUACCUAAUGUUAUUUAAAUAAAUUUACUUAAAAUUAAACAUUAUCAAUUUACUUUCACCUAAAUUUACAUUAAAAUAAAUAAAAUUAUUUUACUAAUUUUU